UGGUGGUGUCAUGGUCAUUGUUGACCGUUCAUAUGAACCCUGCAAUAAUAUUGCAGCUUGUGUGAGGUUGAUAUAACAGUCAAUAGAAACCUUUGACAUCAAAGA
rnacentral:pre_miRNA from 2 species